rnacentral:lncRNA from 1 species
UAGGGUCCCCCCUCCUUCUGCUCUGCUGGCGCUCGACCCAGAAGGCAGAGUCUCUCAAUCAAGCCAGAGCCCACCAUUUGGCUGGUAUUGCUUCUCAACUUAUUCUAGGAACCUCCCUAAGCACGGAUCUAUCUCUAUUUCCUGUUUCUUCUUGGUCUUUUUGAGGUAGAGUCUCACUAUAUAGUCCAAAUUGGCCUGUUCCUGCCUCUGGGUGACUGGGGUUCCAUAUGUAGACCAUUAAGACUGCUUUUGCUGUCGUUUUAAAAGCUCCAAACAGCCUCAGUUUCCCUCUCUGGGAAACGAGGGUAAUGGUGCCUCCUGUAUCAGGCUAUGAUGGCGGUGGAAAGAUUCUGUGAUAACUUCACAGAGCCCGGCCAGAUGACAGCUGGUCCUGUGAUUGCAAGCAGGCAUGCCCUAGGGAGGAGGUGGUAGUUAAAGACCUGUUCUCGGGGAUCAACUGGAAAGCACACAGAACCCCCGAAGUAGCUGGCCCAGCUGAGCCCCACUCUCUUUACCACAUCCCUUCUCUCCUUCACUGAGGCUUAGGACCUCUAUCUCUAGAUAGUUCUAGUUCUUUCUCUGUAAUAAAUAUUUGUCAUCUGCAGCCUUAAUCAAUCACAGUGAGAGGCAUAUCUGUGAAGUGUGCAGCCAAGGUCCUUGGAAGGUCCUGGAGGCGAAGUUGGAGAGGAAGUACUGGCCUGAGGCCAAGGGCAGCAAAGAGUGAAAAGGGGCCGGGGACAGUGUACAGAGCAGUGGCUGGCUUGUCUCCACUAUCAGACUUUACUCCAGGAGGAGGCAGAGGCCGUGUGAGAGCCGUGCCGCUUCACCUGGCUCCUGACCUAUAUUGGAAGUGACAAACACGGGCUCCGAAAUGCUUACAAGGCACCUUGCCGGCAAGCACUGUGAAGUGAAAAUGAGACUAGAUGCUGAGCAAGUCCCACAAACUGUGUGCCCAAGCUCUGGACAGAGCAGAUAGACACAGUCUUCCUCUGAACUAUGCUUGCUGCAGUCCCUCCACCAGCAUGGAGAAGAAGCUCACAAGGACUGUCCUUCAAGCCUAUAUCCAUGCUCAGCUGUGCCAGCAUCUCUGGGCCUCAGGAACACCGAAGUCCUCAUUCUGAGCCAGGUAGGCCCACACAUGUCCCAGACGGUUACAUUCCUUCCUGGCUAGAGGCUUUUGUCACCCCAGGCUGUUGUGGGAAGUUGCCAUCAGGAGCAUCUAAAGACCUGUGACAGGAAAUUGGAGCUGCCAAUCUCUU